UCAACAGCAUGCCAAGCAAAACCAACAAAACUGAUGAAAAUUGUAAAGAAAUGCUCUCGCAGGCUGAAAUAUGAAAGGAAAACAAUGUUAUUUGAGUGCGGCAAAUUCACACAGUGCUGGAGCAAACAUUGCAGAUUACCCAAAACCAAGACUUAAACAAGUGAUCACCAAAAUGUAUCUUUAAUUAUGAGCAGGCCGUUGUGAUGGAGGUUU